ACUCCUACGGGAGGCAGCAGUGGGGAAUAUUGGACAAUGGGGGCAACCCUGAUCCAGCCAUGCCGCGUGUGUGAAGAAGGCCCUCGGGUUGUAAAGCACUUUCAGCGAGGAAGAACGCCUAGUGGUUAAUACCCAUUAGGAAAGACAUCACUCGCAGAAGAAGCACCGGCUAACUCCGUGCCAGCAGCCGCGGUAAUACGGAGGGUGCAAGCGUUAAUCGGAAUUACUGGGCGUAAAGCGCGGCGUAGGUGGCUUGAUAAGCCGGUUGUGAAAGCCCCGGGCUCAACCUGGGAACGGCAUCCGGAACUGUCAGGCUAGAGUGCAGGAGAGGAAGGUAGAAUUCCCGGUGUAGCGGUGAAAUGCGUAGAGAUCGGGAGGAAUACCAGUGGCGAAGGCGGCCUUCUGGACUGACACUGACACUGAGGUGCGAAAGCGUGGGUAGCAAACAGGAUUAGAUACCCUGGUAGUCCACGCCGUAAACGAUGUCGACCAGCCGUUGGGUGCCUAGAGCACUUUGUGGCGAAGUUAACGCGAUAAGUCGACCGCCUGGGGAGUACGGCCGCAAGGUUAAAACUCAAAGGAAUUGACGG
rnacentral:rRNA from 1 species